rnacentral:miRNA from 1 species
GAAAAUGCACAUGCCUGCCUGCCAGCCAGACCCCCUGGAUCAGGCUCUCGGGAGGUGGGGCCCAGGAAUCUGCAUUUUCAGCAAGUUGCCCUAGGUGAUUCUGAUGC